rnacentral:rRNA from 1 species
GACGAACGCUGGCGGCGUGCCUAACACAUGCAAGUCGAACGAUACCGUCGGGUCUUUUGGCGCACGGGUAGGUGACGCGUGGGGAGCUGCCCGUGGGUUCGCUAUAACUCCCCGAGGGGGGUGCUAAUACCAGAGGAUGUCUUCCGACCAAAGAGUUAUCGCCGCGGGAUGGGCGCGAGUUAGAUUAGCUGGUUGGUAGGGUAUAAGCGUACCCAGGCGAAGAUGCAUAGCUGGUGUGAGAGGAUGACCCGCCACACUGGGACUGCGACACGGCCGAGACUGUUAGGGAAGGACGAAGUGGGGAACAUUGUACGACGGGCGAAAGACUAACCCAGCAGUGUCGGGUAAGUGAGGCAGGCGUUAGGAUUGUAAAGAUCUUUUACACGCGAUGAUAAUGACGGUAACGGGAGAAGAAGCGCCGGCUAACUACGUG